CAGUAGCCACGGGAAUACGUAGGUGGCAAGCGUUGUCCGGAAUUAUUGGGCGUAAAGGGCUCGCAGGCGGUUUCUUAAGUCUGAUGUGAAAGCCCCCGGCUCAACCGGGGAGGGUCAUUGGAAACUGGGAGACUUGAGUGCAGAAGAGGAGAGUGGAAUUCCACGUGUAGCGGUGAAAUGCGUAGAGAUGUGGAGGAACGCCAGUGGCGAAGGCGACUCUCUGGUCUGUAACUGACGCUGAGGAGCGAAAGCGUGGGGAGCGAACAGGAUUAGAUACCCCUGUAGUCCCUGUCUCUUAUAC
rnacentral:rRNA from 1 species